AAUCUUAAUAUGCUUGCAGAAAAUGCUGCUUGAAAUGACAGGAGUGGAGCAAGAGAGGCUGCUUUAUGGGAGAAGAAACUGGAGAGAAAUAAAUGGGAGAGACAGUAAGAGUACAGUAGGUAAGAGGGAUUCUGCCAGUACUGCUAAAAAAAGAAAGAGGAAGAAGAUAGGACAACCAUCUGCUUGCUUCUGAAGUGUAUUUGGGCAGCUCUUCUGGACAGAAGGAAUCUUUAGGAGAUACAAUCAUUAACGUUUCAUUGUAAAAGCCACUAAUUUGAAAACACUGCUCCCUAUCACACAUAAAGCUGGUCUCUUCCCUUAAGGGCAAGAUGGAGUUUUUACACUGAAUUAUUGCUUGAAAUGAAAGGAAAGUACAAAUUAAUUAAUUCAGCUAUUGUAAUCACAUUUUAUAUAUCUAUUUGCCUUCUUUAAUACUAAUUGGUGCAAUUACUGUUUUCUGCCUCUUGU